GAAGAGAGGAUAAGCCUUUGGCUUUUUAGUGUCCAAGGGACAGAACCAUGUGGUAUUUGUCUCAGAUCCUCACUGUAAGCUCAGAGUCUGAUAAAGAGCAGCUGUUGAAUAGGAAUUCAUUGAAUGACAGUAGCCAGGGUGGAUAAAAUUUGGAGAAGUGUUUUUAUAGUUGUUUAAGGUGGGACAAAUUUAAAGAUGUGAUUUAUAGAAGAGGAGUAAAUGGAGAGGAAGAGGUUAAGGACAUUAAGGAUGAAGGGGAAAGGGGAGUGUUUGCUGCCAAGGACCCAUAGGAAAUGGGAGGCAAUGGCAUCUACAAAGCCACUGGAAGGUUGCUUUCUCCCACUUUCUUACUUGCAUCUGAUGCUCUUCCCAUUUCACAGGGAAAACAGAAAUGACUAGAAGAGCCCUUGCUCAGACCCACAUCCCCGAGUCUCUCAAUGGUCAGCACCAGUGCUCACAUUUCUGUGUCCUCCUAUUCCUAAGGAUGAACUGGCUGUCAUCCUAUUAAGGUCACCUCUCCACAGGCACGCGGGUAUCAUUCCCUCUCCCCUUCACAGAGACUUCACUCCAGUACUUCUUGCCUCCUCUUCUGCUUCAUCAGUUUUCCUCUUCAAUGGUAUCAUUGCCAUCAGCAUACACACAUGCUUUUAAUUCUCUUAACGGGGCAAAAAGACAAAAACUAAACCUCUGCCUAAUUCUCACCCAGUUUUCUGUUUCUCCUCACUGCGAAACUCCUGGAGACAUUUUCCUUCACUCUCUCCAAUAAUGUAUUUAUGAAUUUUAUUUGUUUGUUUACCUAGAUUUUUUAAUCAGGAUGCUGAAAUGUGAAAGUCAUCCUAUAUGUUCCAGCUGACAGUUUACAAUGUGACGGAAAGGCAAGGAUAAACAUGAUUACUCUUCUUGAAAAUUCACUUCGUUUAGAAGGAGAGAACCACGAACACCUGCUCUCUGUUUAUCCAGAAUUCUGAAGGGAACUCAGUUUACCAAAGCAGCAUGGUGCACUCGGUCUGUUUGGGCCAGAGGCUCACUCUAAGAGCUAGGACACGUCAAGCUGCGAUGGGAACAGCCUCAGGCAGGGUUGACCAAGCAGAGUGCAGCCUCCCUGGGUCCUCUGCUGGUGUUGAGUUUCCUUGCUCUAUAACCAGACCCAUCAGGAUGGAGAUCACGUGCUGGGCCCCUCUGCCUACAGAGAGAUUAUGAAUUGGAAGAAAUCUCAGAUUUUACAUGUUCCAGCUUCCUUCUGCCAGUCAGACGAAUGAUGGUAAAACUGAAAAAACAGUGUCAGCCAGAGGAUCUCACUGAGUAAAUCACGUGACGCAGAGAGCGGUGGGAGGGCAGUAAACAUGUCUACGGAAAUGGCUGACAAGUACUGAAAGGAAUAUUCCUGCCCGUGUCUAUGUUCUCCCCUGUAUUCAGAGGCUGGAAGUCUGAAAACUGCGUUUCCGGGCUUACCAGCAGGAUAGUAACUGCGAUUCCACCGCUGAGUGGUGCGACUCGGGCCCUGGAAGCAGGAGGAUCCACAGC
rnacentral:lncRNA from 1 species